GCCCAUUAUUAGGAUUCUGUAAUAAAUGACUAUACAUACAUUCUGCUGUGUAAAUAUCCAAAGUAUGCCUGGAAGGAUUUAGCUUAGUUUUUUAGCAGCUGUGGUGAGCUGCAUAGUCUCUUAAGGAUAAUUGAGGGUGACCAUUCUUCCACCAUGACAUGAACAGAACUAAUGAGAAAAAGGCAGAAGCUGUUGCUCAUCCCUCGUAGGUGGUUUCAGUCACUCAGGGCAUGACAUCCACGUUUUGGUAAUGCAGAAGAGGGGCUCUAGGGCUUUAAAAGGAGGCAUCUGAAGGCAGGUGUGGGCUCCAGGUAGAUGUUAGCUCUGUGGGUCCUGCUGCUGCUCAGAUGCUGCUGCUCAAUAUAGAAAUGACUUUGCCUUGAUCCUUUCAGGGUAGUUUCUGCAGUCCAAGCUUUUGUCUUUUUUUCUGUUCUCCAAGUGUUUUGUGUGCUAAUGCCAGGGCACCCAGCUCCCAUGAACUGGAGAACCCUGUUCUGUUUAUGUAUAUUUGCUUCCUUGCCUUUCAGCUUUCACUGAUACCCUCUGGGCAGCAAAGACUGCUUGGGCCAAGUCCACUCCUUUCCAGGAUCAGUUCCCCUACCAGCAAAUCAUGCCAUGGAUGUUUCCCUUGAAGCAAGACACUUUCAGCACUCAAUGUAGCUUUGCUGCUUAAGGUCUGUUUAUAGUCUUGACAGUCCUUAUGCCCCGUUGUUCCCAGAAUCGCUCUUUGUAAACUGUCACUUUUUCCUUCCUUAAGAAUUAUCCUGAAAUCCAUGUGCAUGGGAUGGCAGCCAGAGGUUGGUGGGACUGAUUUAAGACGUGAGCUUAUCUGCCUCGUUAAAUAACCAGAAGAAGCUGGCUGCAACUUUCCUUUAAAAAGCUCAGUCAUACCAACAGCAGAAGAUUAGGGUAUAAAUAAUCCAUUUGGCAGGGUUAAUACAAAAAUACCUCUCUGUUGCUCAGCACUUGUUUUUCAUCCAUUUUCCUAGUUACGCUGCCUCCCGGCCUCUGGCACCCACUGUGCGGUUUCUAUUUCGGGCAGCUCCCCGAGUGACGGCUCCCAGGGAUCGCGAGGCUGGGGGGCUUUCUUUUGGAAGCGGGGCUUUUCCCGGCGAGGUGAGGGAAUGGAGACCCCUCUCACCAGCCGCACUUUCAAAUCACAGUCUCCAAGCAGCUGACACAAGACACUAUUAA
rnacentral:lncRNA from 12 species